rnacentral:lncRNA from 1 species
AAACAUGGAGCCCUUGUUGAUAAGGUAAAUCAGUACUUAUCCCAUCUUUACUCAAUGCAUUUCAAUUCUUGCAUUUCCCUUCCAAUUGCAUGCUUAGUUUAGUUUUGUAUAUUUCCCUUCGACAAAAUGCUUAGGAAUAAUACAUGAGAAUCUUAAGAACAACUUGCAAUAUAGUUUUGACCUGUGGAUCACCUAGAGGUGGGUCGGCCGACCCCACCAUUGGGCCCACUUACAGUCUUUCACUUUGGCUUGAUGCAAUGUGUCGAGGUCAGCACUUGGAUGCUCCUAGAGCUUUCAAGUUGGGGUCGGUCGACCCCAAGACUUGCCCUCUUGGCAGUCUGUUAUCUCCCAUUUGCUUUGCUUUAGAAUCCCAUGCAUGACACGCAAGCCAAAGUCUAAAAAGAAAUGGUUCGUUUGGGACCUAUGCACCAGCUUAAACCUCUAAAGUGGUCUCCUAGACAUGCUCUAGUGCUGUCAUGAUCACUGACAACCACUUUAAGCAUAUCUCCACUUUUGCAAAUCAUCUUUUCUCUUUCACAUAGCACUAGGCAAGGGACUCUUAUAAAAGAACUUUACUUCUUGUCCACGCCUAGGCUUUACUUUAGUAGACACUUAAUGCCACAUCAUUUAGAGUGCUAAAGUGCUUAGGGUAUGGGUCGGCCGACCCCUACAUUGGCUAAUCUUUGGAAAAGAGUUCAUAUAUGUUGCAAGAUUCCCUGUCAUGAUUCAAAACUUUGAAACAUAGUGCUUAUAGAGAGGUCGGCCGACCCCCACAUUGGGGUCUUCACCACUUGCCCUUCUGCACCUAUAAAUACCCAUGCAUUGUGAGCUCAAUUCCACACCCAAAACCACCAAAAUUAUCUCGAGCUCACAAUCCCUCUUCUCUCUUCUUAGUUGCAAGUUAUUUCUCAAGAUUAGAAUAGUUGCCUUUCAAAAAAAAACCAAAAAAAAAUAUAUUAGUCUUGCAUAGGAGUAGAAGUAGGAAAAAAUUUAGUUGUCUGUGUUGUGCAGGAAAAUGGAGAAAGCAUUCCUCUCCCGAUUCUAGAAGUCCAAAGGGGGUGAGAGUUGUUCUCAAAGCUCUCAUCACUCUAAUGAGGGAAGCCAUGAGAGGAUGGAGGAAGGGGAGAGUCGCCAUCAAGUGGUGCUCUACGAACGUCCUCCAAGAGCAAUGGAGCCUGAAGAAUGAACUCAUAUUAACACUGGAAGAGUUGAUCAAGUUCAACAACCUAAAGGAGAGCGGUUUCCGCCAUACAAGCAUCCUCGACCCGGCCCUUGUGGACCACACAGGUAUGAUUAAAGAAUUUAAUGAUAUUUUAAUACCAUUGGUUUGGGAGGUUUUUGGUGAGUGCCUUAAACUUGGUAUAGAAGUGCUCACUAAAGAAUUUUUAUGCACACUAAAAUUGAAUCAUAACAUUUCGCAUGUGUGGGCAAGAGUGUAGCUAUACUUGGGGUCUUCUAGCCACUGCUCUAGGUUGUGACUUUGAUUGUACAAUUGACUUAGACAUUGAAAGCCCAAGUUUGGUUUUGGUAAUUAAUAACACCAAGUUGCUAAUGCCUUGUGUUUAAGUGUUUUGAGUUAGGCAUAGCAACACAUGUGAUGAAGGUGCAUGGUGGCAUGGAAAGGUGGCCACAUGAUCACAAAGGGAUGAAGCAUGAAGUGAAGAUCAUGGUGAUAGAAGAGGAGCAAAGUUAUCAAGGCAAAGGUAUAAACAUAGGGUUUUACUUUUGCCGGUCUAAGAUGAGUAGAGAAGUGAUUGACCGGGUUUAGGGAUAGAUAACCGACUAUCAAG